GGAUGUGAGGGUGAUCUGUCUGUGACAUCUGUCACCCCAUUGAUACCACAGUUAAUUCAGUUGAUCUGGCUAGCUAGGCAGGUGUCCCCUUCCUCCGUUACCACUCCAUUUUUAUUUUUCCAUGAACUGUGUGCUCAUGGAAGAGACAACUAAUUUAGGGAGGAGUGUAUCAAUCUUUAGGCAAGGGUAUGAUAUCCGUGCUCACCUUCUAGAACCGACAAACAAACCUUUUCCUCCAUCCAUUUGCCUGUUCGUUUCCCAGGCUUGAGAUAUAACAAUGCAUCUCAAUGGCUUUGUUUGAUCAGCAGUGCUUG
rnacentral:snRNA from 1 species